rnacentral:lncRNA from 1 species
GACUGACUGGCAGAGUAUUUGACUUGCAGAGGCAAGUGUUAGCUCUAGCCCAUCCACAGCCACAUGAGGACAUCACUGAGGUCUCAGACCUAUCUGCGGAGGCAGCCAGACUGCGAGGAGUCUUAGAGAGUGGUUUUGACUUUCUGAGGAGAGAGAUCAGGGGCUCUAGUGAGCAUGCUUCCACUCAGUUCACUGCACUGCUACAAU